rnacentral:rRNA from 1 species
CAGCAGCCGCGGUAAUACGUAGGGGGCAAGCGUUAUCCGGAAUUACUAGGUGUAAAGGGAGCGUAGACGGUUAAACAAGUCUGAAGUGAAAUGCCGGGGCUCAACCCCGGAGCUGCUUUGGGAACUGUAGAACUGGAGUGUCGGAGGGGUAAGCGGAAUUCCCAGUGUAGCGGUGAAAUGCGUAGAUAUUGGGAGGAACACCGGCGGCGAAGGCGGCUUACUGGACGACAACUGACGUUGAGGCUCGAAGGCGUGGGUAGCAAACAGGAUUAGAUACCCCCGUAGUCCCUGUCUCUUAUAC